rnacentral:tRNA from 1 species
GGUAGUGUGGCCGAGUGGUCUAAGGCGCUGGUUUCAGGUACCAGUCUUUUCGAUGGCGUGGGUUCGAAUCCCACCACUGCCA